rnacentral:tRNA from 1 species
GGAGGGUAUAGCUCAGUGGUAGAGUGCCUGCUUAGCAUGCAUGAGGUCUUGGGUUCGAUCCCCGGUACCUCCA